ACACUCCUACGGGAGGCAGCAGUGGGGAAUUUUGGACAAUGGGCGAAAGCCUGAUCCAGCCAUGCCGCGUGCAGGAUGAAGGCCUUCGGGUUGUAAACUGCUUUUGUACGGAACGAAACGGCCUUUUCUAAUAAAGAGGGCUAAUGACGGUACCGUAAGAAUAAGCACCGGCUAACUACGUGCCAGCAGCCGCGGUAAUACGAAGGGUGCAAGCGUUAAUCGGAAUUACUGGGCGUAAAGCGUGCGCAGGCGGUUAUGUAAGACAGUUGUGAAAUCCCCGGGCUCAACCUGGAAACUGCAUCUGAGACUGCCUAGCUAGAGUACGGUAGAGGGGGAUGGAAUUCCGCGUGUAGCAGUGAAAUGCGUAGAUAUGCGGAGGAACACCGAUGGCGAAGGCAAUCCCCUGGACCGGUACUGACGCUCAUGCACGAAAGCGUGGGGAGCAAACAGGAUUAGAAACCCUGGUAGUCCC
rnacentral:rRNA from 1 species